CCAGCAGGAGCGAGUUACCCAUUGAACCCUAUUCAUGAUGGGGAUCGGGCAUUGCAAUUAUUCCCCAUGAAUGAGGAAUUCCCAGUAAGUUGAGGUCAUAAGCUUACAUUGAUUAAGUCCCUGCCCUUUGUACAUACAGCCUGUCGAUACUACCAAUUAGAUGGUUUAGUGAGGCCCUCAGAUCCGCCCUGCAGGGGUCUGCCCAUGGCCCUGGCUGAGUGCUGAGAAGAAGUCGAACUUGACUAUCUAGAGGAAGUAAAAGUCCCAAAAAGGUUUCAGCAAGUGAACCUGCAGAAGGAUCAUUA
rnacentral:ncRNA from 1 species